GUGGGGAAUCUUAGACAAUGGGGGAAACCCUGAUCUAGCCAUGCCGCGUGAUCGAUGAAGGCCUUAGGGUUGUAAAGAUCUUUCAGGUGGGAAGAUAAUGACUGUACCACCAGAAGAAGCCCCGGCUAACUCCGUGCCAGCAGCCGCGGUAAUACGGAGGGGGCUAGCGUUGUUCGGAAUUACUGGGCGUAAAGCGCACGUAGGCGGAUUGGAAAGUUGGGGGUGAAAUCCCGGGGCUCAACCCCGGAACUGCCUUCAAAACUCCCAGUCUUGAGUUCGAGAGAGGUGAGUGGAAUUCCGAGUGUAGAGGUGAAAUUCGUAGAUAUUCGGAGGAACACCAGUGGCGAAGGCGGCUCACUGGCUCGAUACUGACGCUGAGGUGCGAAAGCGUGGGGAGCAAACAGGAUUAGAAACCCCUGUAGUCC
rnacentral:rRNA from 1 species